UACAGAGGGUGCGAGCGUUAAUCGGAAUCACUGGGCGUAAAGCGCGCGUAGGCGGCUUUGCAAGUCGGGUGUGAAAUCCCCAGGCUUAACCUGGGAACUGCAUUCGAGACUGCAUUGCUAGAGUAUGGGAGAGGGAAGUGGAAUUUCCGGUGUAGCGGUGAAAUGCGUAGAUAUCGGAAGGAACAUCAGUGGCGAAAGCGACUUCCUGGACCAAUACUGACGCUCAUGUGCGAAAGCGUGGGGAGCAAACAGG
rnacentral:rRNA from 1 species